CAAACACGUCUGAAGCGUCACAGUGACUUGAAACAGACACUUCAAUGAGAGUGAAUCAUUACUAAAUAAAACUACAUAAAAGGUAAAAAGCUGCAGAUCAACCAUGUCGAAGACAUCGAUUGAGAUUUAUGAAACAGAGAUGAGUGAUGAGAUGCAGCGUGAGGUUCUUCAGGUCGCUCUUCUGGCUGUGAAUAUGUACACAAGCGGAUAUGACAUUGCUCGCUACAUCGUGAAGGAAUUUGACAAAAAGCAUGGGAACUACUGGCACUGUGUUGUCGGGAACGUUAGUUACUACGGUACAUUUCAAGGGAACAAUUAUAUCUGCUUCUCUGUUGGUGGCAAAGGAAUUACACUCUUCAAAUCUGCACAAUAAACAACACACAAACAGCAAACACAACAUUCUGACAUCUCACAAGUGUAAAAGCCUUACUGCAGUGGGAAUAAAAGAAUGCCUGUACCGACUGAUUUCAGGUAGGGAUACUAUAAUUCAUACCAGAAGAAAAAAAACCAAUAAUCUUACUUUGACAAUGUCAUUCAAUGAGUUUCAGUGUUUAGCAAAGUACAGAUUCAAAUUUUUUUUGAGGAAAAAAUCAUAUUCAAAUGUAUCAAAUAUGAUCAGGCUUUUGAGGAAGGUUUAUUUGUUCAUCUGUCAGUCAUAGUUCUAUUGCAUUAUGUUUUAAACCUACAGAGAUUAAUAAUAAAACUAAGCAUUUAAAUAUCAUCUUACUAAGACAUUAUUGGCAGAUUUUGACAUUUAUAUGCAUUUUGUGUAAGUAUCUGAUUUUCUUAUAUAAAGAUCUCAUUGAUUUACAUUACAAGGAUCGACUCCAACUCUCUAACAUAAUGGUUAGAGAGUCGGACUUGUAAAGUUUGCAGGUUUGAGUCUCAGUACUGCCAGGAAAUGUAGGUUUGGGCAGUGAAUGAACAGCGCUUUCUGAAGUAUAUUAAAUCAAGAUCUCCAAAACCCGUUUCGUGACCGAAUCUUUUGAACAGAUUCCAUUUAAAUCAACUGGUUGGUUUACAAAUAACAUUGAUUGAAUGAUUCAUUUGUAAAUUCGACUGAUAGAAGAUUAAACUUGCUGUAGCUAACAACUCAAUGUGAUUCAGUGAUAAGGACAUAGCAAGUGAAGUUAACAAAGAACACCUGAAUUUGUCUCUGAUUCUCAGAUUAAGCUCUAGACUGAGUUCAACCUAUAUUUAAGCUUAUUUGUGUGGCAUUCCUCUCUUUUACAGUUUUAUAAGUGGAUUGAUGACAUUCGCAGAUGAAUCCAUGCACUACUUUGUAUGCUUUUUAAACAUGAAUGAGCCAGUGUGGGGCAGGACAACACGUGCAGCCCCGCCCCGACCUGCAGGCGGCAGCCAGGUGUACUUGCCCAUAGAACCGGGCCUGAAACGAUAACAUUUCCCGCCCUUCUUCUGGAGAAUUACCUAUCUGUUGCUAUAGAGACCAAUGACAAUGACAAAUGAAAUAAACAGAGCUUUAAGAAAUACUACAGAAAUUAACCAGUAUGAUUACAUAGUAAUCAGAUGUUAAAUAACACUAGAUAUUCUUCAUUGCAAAUAGAUAAACCAAUAACUCAACUCAACCAAUGAGCUCGGAGCCCUCUCCCCGGACAGCACGCCAAAUACGCCUAACUUUACUCUAUUUAAUUAUAUAGAUAUGUGAUCUCGUGAAAUGCAGAGAAGCGCUGAGAACUGGAUGACAUAGAAUCGUGCCACUCCAGCCGCAGCAGCCAAUCACACACUCUGGAGGAACGCUUCUACGUCAGUUUUACGUCCUUGUGUUGUUAAUAUUUUUCUCUCUUUUCCCGAGUCUCUCUUUUUUACCUUCACUUUCAUAGUCGCGUCCCAUUGUUUCACGCCGCUCACCUGGUCCCCGUGUUCCUGUGACGUCACUGACCAGCUCUGCAAUGCGGUCUGUCCUGUGGCAUAAAAGGGGAGAGUAGACCAUAGAUAUUAUAAUAAACACUAGACGCCCUAUUAGCCGCUGGACCGUACGUCAACGGCGCCGCCAUAUUGUGCGGGGCAACGUUCCCAUAACGCUAACUGGAAUUGAGAAAAAUGCCUGCUUCGUGUGCUGCUUGGGGCUGUGCAAAUCGCUGCACAAUUGAAAACAGGUCUUGGGGAAUGACCUUUCACCUGUAAGACUGAACAUUUGUUUCUGGUUGUAUUUGGUUAUUAUAUAAUUAUAUUGAUAGUAGUUGGCCACCGGAGUCAGUCAGACUAAAAUAGCUAGCGAUGUCGCUAGUUAGCUGUGAAAGUUGAGACAUGAGUUUACAUGAUUUCUAAUAUAGUUUUAGCUUAUAUCUUAUUUUAUAAACUAAAUUUCCUGAAGUUUAAAUAUGCAUCUUUAUUUUCUUAGUGCUACAAAAAUACAGAAAGCAGCCUGUGUGAUUUGUAUUUGAUGAUUUUUUUUUUUUUUUUUUUUUUCAUUUUAUCAAUGGUGGUCAAUUCUAAGCUCAAGAAAAGCUAAAAUUGGGUUUAAGACAGAAAAUGCCUUUUCCACAAUAAGAAAACUUUAUUUCAUUUAAUGUGAAAAUUAAAUUGUAUCUCAGUAUGGGCGUUUUCAUAAUUCUUAUGCAAGAAUAAAGCAGCCAAAUACAUGACAAGCCUGAGCUUUGACUAUUUCUUAUUAAAAUAAAUAUUUUAUAUGUCUAACUAUAGAGAUUUUAAGUAACUAGAACUUUUUGUACACCACGUACAUUAUGAACAACUGAAAUCAAUUGAUAAAUGUAAAUGUUAUUUUUGUUUUUAUCCAGAAAAAACGCAGUUCGCCCGUUUACUUGCAUUUGUUGACAGCGCAGUCUUGCCCCGCACAAUAUGGCGGACUCGUUGACAUAUCGCAGCAACAGUCCAAAGAGGCCAAUAGGGCGUCUAGUGUUUAUUAUAAUGUCUAUGGAGUAGACACCACUCACGAGGCCCGAGAUGCUGCGAAAUAUUGGUUUUUGUGUGAUAGCCCAAUUCUGUGUAUAGUAGUGAUGGGAGAAACAAAGCUUUUCAAAAUAACGAAAGCCUCGUUUACUGAAAUCACGUGACUUUGGCAGUUUGAAACACGCUCAGAACCACUGAUUCGAAACAAAAGAUUCGUAAAGGUUUCGAAGCUUCAUGACGCAGUGUUUCGAAAGCGGCCA